rnacentral:tRNA from 3 species
GGGCGAUUGGCUCAGGGGUAGAGCACUUCCUUCACACGGAAGGGGUCAUGCGUUCAAAUCGCAUAUCGCCCACCA